UACGUAGGGUGCAAGCGUUGUCCGGAAUUAUUGGGCGUAAAGAGCUCGUAGGCGGUUUGUCGCGUCUGGUGUGAAAAUCCAGGGCUUAACCCUGGACCUGCAUCGGGUACGGGGCAGACUAGAGUGCGGUAGGGGAGAUCGGAAUUCCUGGUGUAGCGGUGAAAUGCGUAGAUAUCGAGAGGAACACCUGCGGCGAAGGCGGGUUGCUGGGCUGACACUGACGCUGAUGCGCGAAAGCUAGGGGAGCGAACGGG
rnacentral:rRNA from 1 species